UCCUACUCCACGACCCUCGCCCUGUGAG
rnacentral:misc_RNA from 1 species